GUACGGGUGAGUAACACGUGGAUUAUCUACCCUUUAGUGGGGAAUAACCCUGGGAAACCGGGGCUAAUACCGAUAAGCCUGGAAAGGGAAAGCAGAAUGGCGCUGAAGGAGGAGUCCGGGGCGAUUAGUUAGUUGGCGGGGUAAUGGCCCACCAAGACUUGUGAUCGGUAUCCGGGCUUGAGAGGGCCGCACGGGACACACUUGGGAACUUGAAAACACGGGCCAAGAAUUCUACGGGAGGCAGCAGUGGGGAAUUUUGCGCAAUGGGGGAAACCCUGACGCAGCAACGCCGCGUGGAGGAUGAAGUACUUCGGUACGUAAACUCCUUUCGAUCGGGACGAUAAUGACGGUACCGAGAGAAGAAGCCCCGGCUAACUUCGUGCCAGCAGCCGCGGUAAUACGAGGGGGGCGAGCGUUGUUCGGAAUUAUUGGGCGUAAAGGGUGCGUAGGCGGUUUGGUAAGUCUGAUGUGAAAUCUAUGGGCUCAACUCAUAGUCUGCAUAGGAAACUGUCGGGCUUGAGUAUUGGAGAGGUGAGUGGAAUUUCCGGUGUAGCGGUGAAAUGCGUAGAUAUCGGAAGGAACACCUGUG
rnacentral:rRNA from 1 species